GACGAACGCUGGCGGCGUGCUUAACACAUGCAAGUCGAACGGAAAGGCCCUGCUCUUGUGGGGUGCUCGAGUGGCGAACGGGUGAGUAACAAGUGAGUAACCUGCCCUUGACUUUGGGAUAACUUCAGGAAACUGGGGCUAAUACCGGCUAGGAGCUCCUGCUGCAUGGUGGGGGUUGGAAAGUUUCGGCGGUGGGGGAUGGACUCGCGGCUUAUCAGCUUGUUGGUGGGGUAGUGGCUUACCAAGGCUUUGACGGGUAGCCGGCCUGAGAGGGUGACCGGCCACAUUGGGACUGAGAUACGGCGCAGACUCCUACGGGAGGCAGCAGUGGGGAAUAUUGCACAGUGGGCGGGAGCCUGAUGCAGCAACGCCGCGUGCGGGAUGACGGCCUUCGGGUUGUAAACCGCUUUCGCCUGUGACGAAGCGUGAGUGACGGUAAUGGGUAAAGAAGCACCGGCUAACUACGUG
rnacentral:rRNA from 1 species